UCCAUCGUUAAUUCUAACUGCAACUGAGAUGUGCAUAGGUAUAGUCUACAAGACUAAAACUAUAUCUAUGUGAUCAAUAUCAUAUCAACAGGUUUUUUGUAUACUAUUUCUUAUCUCGCUUCUCCUCCAAGAAUUGCAGAAAACCGAAAUACAUAUUAUAAUCACAAACUUCAUAUUGAAUACUAUUUCUUUCUUAUAAUCAAACCAAUAGUAAAGCCGACUGCCCAAGAAUAAAAUUCUCUAUUAUAAUUGCUCUCUCUCACACAAGUAAUUUCCUCUUCCGUUUAAAAACAAAAUACAAAAUAACAGUACAUCUCGUGAUGAUUUGAACAUAGGUUACCUAUUGGUUAUUACCUUGAUUGGUCAUUAAUUUUGUCAAAACGGAUUCCUUCAGAAUAUGCAAAUGUGUAAGCCUCUCCAGAGACAUUAACAAUUCUUCCUUCUUUCUU
rnacentral:lncRNA from 1 species